rnacentral:tRNA from 1 species
GGGAGUAUGGGGUAAUCAGGUAUCCUCGUCGGCUCCAGACCGACUGAUCCAGGUUCAAAUCCUGGUGCUCCCA